UUCUAGUCCUUCCCUAUGGAAAAGUUUCACCUAUGUUAUGGUGAUGACUAAGAAUUUAUUAACAUUCUUUCUUCUUAAGGAAUAUUUUCUUUUCGUGGUUGUAGGCCAUGAACACCCAGGGAUUCAUUCAGUCCAAGAAUUUGGAGUUUCCUUUCUGUGAACUUUUUGCUUAUGGAAGCUACAGAUCAUCUUGCACAUUCCCUGGAGGGAAUCGUACCUCCCUUCAGAGAUCACUGCAUUAUAAUAGAGGAUGUCCGGCGCUGUCCUCAGUCUCCAGCUACAAGAUGCCAGUAUCAUCUCCCCUCCCUAGUCAGAAAGAACAUUCAGGAAGUCUCCAGUCACGGCCAGAUGUCUCCUGGGGAGCAAAAUUUCCCCUCCCCUGCCCAUGCCUUGAGAACUUCUAAGCUAAAGGGAGAUAGAAAUGGCUU